GAUGAACGCUGGCGGCGUGCUUAACACAUGCAAGUCGAACGGUGAAGCAGGAGCUUGCUCCUGUGGAUCAGUGGCGAACGGGUGAGUAACACGUGAGCAAUCUGCCCUGGACUCUGGGAGAAGCGUUGGAAACGACAUCUAAUACAGGAUACGAGGCAUGGGGGCAUCCCCAACGCCUGGAAAGAACUUCGGUCCAGGAUGAGCUCGCGGCCUAUCAGGUAGUUGGUGAGGUAACGGCUCACCAAGCAUACGACGGGUAGCCGGCCUGAGAGGGUGACCGGCCACACUGGGACUGAGACACGGACCAGACUCCUACGUGAGGCAGCAGUGGGGAAUAUUGCACAAUGGGCGCAAGCCUGAUGCAGCAACGCCGCGUGAGGGACGACGGCCUUCGGGUUGUAAACCUCUUUUAGCAGGGAAGAAGCGAAAGUGACGGUACCUGCAGAAAAAGCACCGGCUAACUACGUGCCAGCCGCCGCCGUAAGAC
rnacentral:rRNA from 1 species